AUAUUCGAUUGUAUUUGGUAGUACUGCGUCCCAGCGUCAAUGCUGUUGGUGCAUAUCAUACGAAAAACCGAGGAUACAUGCAUUCAGUCAUUAGUAGGUGAUCAAUCAUCAUGCAUGUUUGUCCUCAGGCUAAGAAAAAGUCCUCGUUCAAUUUUAAUUGUCACUGAGAUAGGUAAAGAUCACUCAUGUAUGCAUUGGGCCUUAGCCAUUCAUUACGGUGUGCGACACUCGCAGUGAUACGGAGGCACAGACAUGCUUAAGUAAUUGGACACAUGACAUGCACCGUUGCAUUGCCAAUUUACCAACUUACCGAAUUCGGCACGGCAGAGUCUCCAUCGUCCACUUGUCCAUUGUUUAAAGAGGAUGGCCAAUACACACACAUAGUAUGUAAACAUAGGCAUUGAAUAAUUACAGCAGUGCCGGUGGCAUACUUUGGCUUGGCGAUCUCUUCUCAUUUCUUUUAUUAUUCCAUCCGCUCCCAAACUUCUGCUUGAUGAAAUAAUUGAAAAAAAUUAAGCCUGUAUACCGUAAGUGGCAGCAGGCAAAAAAAUUCGUAUACCAAAAUGUUAAUAUGAUACUCUGUAAAUUUAUCAAAAUCUAAUUUUGGUGUUAUUUUUUAUGGUACCAUUUAAUAAUAAGUCGCAUUGGUUAUGGUCCAAGUUUAAGCCGAUCUUAAGAGAAAGUAUUGGACGCUAUAAAAAUCACUGAGAAAGUGUGAAGUGAACUACAGUGAGACGUCAUUAGUACUUAUUUUAUAGUCAUGUAUCCUUGUGAAGAAACCCUGUGCUAAAGGACGAUUAAAGGGAGAACUUUAUCGUUCAGGCAAUAUGCAUAUCUGCAUAUACGUUAUGAUUCAAAGGUAUACACAUAGUUUAGUACUGAACGUGAAAUCCACUGCAAUGACUUCCACCCAAGUAACCCCUUGAUAUCGGUCAUAUGUAGUUAAUUCAUUUAAUCUCCACAAAGGCAGACGAAAAGUAAGUGAGUGCAGAAGUAAGUACAGAAAAGUCUCAUCCGGCCUCUUUCUGGAAAGUCAUUGCUACACCCUUCCGAUUUCUUCGUAAACUGGCUCAAUCGACUUUUCUUCAUCCUGGACUAUUUUCGAGAUGUGAUGCUAUCGAGACGCUUAAGAGUUGCCUUACUGUCACAUUGCAUUUAAUGAAUCAGCACAUGCAAUGCAACUGCAAUGCACCCUCCUCGUCUCACUUUUCCCAGUGAUGCUUCCUCCGAUGAGAUGAGAAGACGUCGAUGGAUGGAACGUCGAAUUAUGAUGCUCAACAAAAUAACGAUUAAUGAGUGAUUGGUAAACUAUGAAAAUCAAAAACUUUGUUAAAUCCGUUAAAAGUUUAAAAUGGGUUUGGAAUCACUUUUGGCUGGCUCCAGGAGGGUGUUUGGUGGUGCUGUUGGGAAGGCAGAGUGGAGACGACGAAGGAAAGUCUCUCGCCUUCUACACAGAGAGAUUUCUUACCUGUUUUACUUCCUCCGAGUGCACUUAUCAUCAUGAUCACACAACGCAUACGACGACGACGAUGGUGGAGAAGAAAGAGGAGCUGAAGAAGAAGAAGAGGCAAAGUUUACAAAAGUCAAGUCAACAGCCCGACUUGUGUCAGUGCUUGGCUCCCGUCCGUUCAUUUGGCUACCUUGUGUCAUGUCAUGAAUUAUUAUACAAUCGGAUGCCCUCUCAGUGUCUCAUUUAUUUUAACAUUUCAACCAUUUUCUUCACUCUCUGUCCGUGGUUUCGACACAAUUGCCA